CCAGUGUUAUGAAUCCCACAUCUCCCAGGGAGAUGCCAGAACUCGCUGCCUUGCCCUCUUCAUAACUGGGGCUUAGUUUUUCAGUUGCCCCUGAGCCAGACUUGAUCUCAGGAGCUGGUGAUACAGAUGUUAAGUAUGCUGAGCUCUCUCCCCAACCUGUCCCUCUGCCGGGGCUGGCAUGGACACUCAUGAUGGUGGCAAAUCACUGCAGGGUGCACACUGGGGUUUCCUCAUGAGACCAGCUCUGGGUGAUGUGCCAGUUUCUAGGAGCUUAGCCUGGGACCCAGCCUCCUAGCCCUCCCAGGAAUCCUCCAGCCAACAUCCUAGAAGUCUUUUUAAUCAGCAGUCGGCUUCUGUUGCUGGCAACCUGGAAUCCUGUCUGAAGGGAACAUGACAUUGUAAUUUUUAUUCUGGAACUCAUCCUGAAUUAUCCACCUCAUUUUUAAAAGAUGGCUUCGAAACAUAUUGUAACUGCUUUCUUUUGAUGGAUCAAGUUCAUGUUAGGAAAAGCAGUGAGUUACAAGGAUCCCCUACCAUCCACAUCUAGUCAGUUCUGGAGCUUACACAGUGGGAGCUCAGAAGGGAACUGAAAGAGAACAAGAGAGAAGAUGGCAGGAAAGCAGCAGCAUGAAGUCAAUAUCAGAUCCUCCUUCCCUGGCCUCGCCUCAGGGUCUUUCCCUCCACAUCUGUUCCCAGGCCUGAAGGAAGGAACUCGAGAACCCACCCCAGCCACUCACCCUGUUGACGCCAAGUGAAACUCUGUUUUGAGUGUCCACACCUCUCCCAGAUAACUCAGUGGUAAAGUCUAAGCCGAUGGAA